rnacentral:lncRNA from 1 species
CUCCAGGCUUGGAAAGCUGUAUGACUGCUGCUUCUGUCAUUGAACGACCAAGGGAAACAUUCGUGCUUCCCUAAUGCUGGCCUCCUGGGGGGAGUGUGUUUUAGGAGAUGGGCAGUCUGACUGAGUCAAACGGUACACACAUCACGGGCCAGUUAAUCCUGGGACUUUACCUAUCAAUGAGAUGACAGAACCGAGGCACAGAGAGGGUUGGACCCAGCUGGGACUGGAAGCCAGACCGUUGGCUCCAGUGGACAUGCCCUUUGUCUCUACUCUGUGGGCUUCUAACCUGAAACUCGCGGAUGGCAGUGGAGAGGGGAGAGAAGCCCGCUGGCAUCUGAGGACAACAAUCUCUAGAUGAACUUUCCUGUUAGCUAUGUUUCCAAGCCCGUGAAGCUCUGAGAAAGACCUGGCUUGGAGGAUGGAGCGGGGAGUGCAGGUUACUGAAGACCAGGCUUGCUGGAAGCGCGUCUCAGUUCAGAGUAGCCACUUUGAAGUCCUCAGUAGCCACGUGUGCCUAGUGGCUGCCAUGUUAGAUAAUGACGUAUUGGACAUAAAGGAUUGCAUCACAUGGUCCCUGCCCUCCAGAGCUUGUAAACUUGCAUCUGUAUCCUGCGGGAUGGAGAGACUUCCCUGCGAGGACCGUGCUGGAGAGAGAUGGGAGCUUCCCGGAAGUUUGGUGCACACUGCUAAUACCAGGUCCCUCAUCCUCUUCUCGAGUCUCCCCGGGCUGGUUUCCUCUGCCACAUUCAAGCUAAUGUGCUAAUUUCAGAAUGCUCAACUUCUCUAUCAACAAACUCUCAAAAUUCAGCGCCUAAAACGUGUUGAUAACUUUCCUUAUUUCUUUCUUUCAAUAUUGAUAUUGCACAAAUUUAUGCAACACAAGAAUUUUUCUUUCUGUGAGAGCUGGAAACACAUCAGAUGGCUGUGUGAUGACUUUUUCUGCCACUUAGGCGCCG